rnacentral:rRNA from 1 species
CCCAGAUCGUUUACCGUGAAAAAAUUAGAGUGUUCAAAGCAGGCAGACCAUUUCUUCUGCCACCGAAUACAUUAGCAUGGGAUAAUGGAAUAGGACCCUGUCCUCCUAUUUUGCGUGUUGGUUUUCGAGGACCGGGUAAUGAUUAAUAGGGAUAGUUGGGGGCAUUAAUAUUUAAUUGUCAGAGGUGAAAUUCUUGGAUUUAUGAAAGAUUGACUUCUGCGAAAGCAUCUGCCAAGGAUGUUUUCAUUAAUCAAGAACGAAAGUUAGGGGAUCGAAGACGAUCAGAUACCGUCGUAGUCUUAACCAUAAACGAUGCCGACCAGCGAUUAGGAGACGUUGAAUACAAAACACCACCGUCGGGUCGGCCGUCCUUGGCCGUCGUGCGCGGCGAGGCGCGCGGCGGCGAGGGCGGCGUCUGCCCGACGGCCCGGUGAAUGACUCCCCUAGCAGCUUGUGAGA